AUGCAGCCCGCCGGCCGCGAAAUGCACGGCGGCGGGCAGGGGCAGGGGCAGGACGACUUCUUCGAGCAGAUGCUGUCCGCGCUGCCGACGGCCUGGGCCGAGCUCGGCUCCGUCAGGCCCCCCUGGGAGCUCCAGGCGGCCGGCGCGCCCCCGCACGACGGCGACCCCGGGUUCGACGAGUCCGCCCUCCUCGCCUCCCGCCUCCGCCACAACCAGAUCAGCGGCGGCGGAGGGGACGACAAGCCGCCGCCGGCCUUGCUCCCCCGCCACGGCCUCGACGGCGGGGGCUUCCUGCCGCUGCCGCUGUUCACUGACCGGUCGCGGGAGGACCUGCAGGGAGCCAACCAGGCGCUGUUCGACGGGUUCGGGGCCGCCGGAAUGCACGCCGCCGGCGCUGCUCAGCCACCGUUCGGGCAGGCCGGAUCAAUGCCGCCGCCAGCGGCCCAGGGCGGAGCGGCGGCGCCGCCGCGGCAGCGGCAGCGGGCGAGGAGGGGGCAGGCCACCGACCCCCACAGCAUCGCCGAGCGUCUCAGAAGGGAGAGGAUAGCGGAGAGGAUGAAGGCGUUGCAGGAGCUGGUCCCGAGCGCCAACAAGACCGACAAGGCAUCGAUGCUUGACGAGAUCAUUGAUUAUGUCAAGUUCCUCCAGCUUCAAGUCAAGGUUCUCAGCAUGAGCCGAUUAGGCGGAGCUGCGGCAGUUGGCCCUCUGGUUGCUGGCUUGUCAUCAGAGAGCAGCGGAAAUGGAAACGGGACCAGCAGCAGCGGCGACGGCAAUGGCGACGACGACAAUGGUGGCAGCACCUUGCGGGCGACGGAGCAACAGGUGGCGAGGCUGAUGGAGGAGGACAUGGGCACUGCCAUGCAGUACCUGCAGGGCAAGGGGCUCUGCCUGAUGCCGAUCUCCCUUGCCUCCGUCAUCUCCUCCGCAACCUCCUCGUCGCUCCGCUCCGCCACCCGCCCUGCUGGUAAUGCCGGAGGACCACUACACGAAGGCGGUAGCCCUGCGUCGCCUCGGUUGGUGAACGGCGGUGUGGGCGCCGAUGGCUCCCGGACCAUCGGGGACGGCGGUGGACAGUGA
rnacentral:rRNA from 1 species